CGUUCCCCCACCUCUCCCUCAAACCCCUUCCCUAAACCGGCCGCACCUUCUCUCCCCAGACCGCUUCCCUAAACUGACCGCACCUCUCUCUUUCUUUUACUGUCUCUCUCCCUCCUUCUCUCUCUCCUACUCCCUGUAUCUCUCUCUAACCUCCUGAACCGAACGCCAACCCUCUCCGCCCAAACCCUUCGCUCCCUCUCUCUCAUUCCUAGACCGAACGCCCAUCUCUCUCAUUCUCUCUCUCUUGCACGGCCCGCUCUCUAUCUACCCCCCCCCUCUCUCUCUAUCAUCACAUCCAUUUUUCUCUACCCCCCGCUCUCUCUCUUUACCAUCUAUGCUCCUCUGUCACGCUCAACUGAUCGCCUAUCUCUUUCAUCAGUCCUGCGCUCAGCCGCUUUCUCUCUCUACCACCUCUGGUCCUCUAUGACACUCAACCGAUCGCCCCUCUCUUUCUCUCUCUUCGAUCCUGGA
rnacentral:lncRNA from 1 species